AAUAGAUACCCGGGUAGUCCACGCCCUAAACGAUGCAUAUUUGGUGUGGGCCAUUCAUUUGGUCUGUGCCGGAGCUAACGCGUUAAAUAUGCCGCCUGGGGAGUACAGUCGCAAGGCUGAAACUCAAAGGAAUUGACGGGGGCCCGCACAAGCGGUGGAGCAUGUGGUUUAAUUCGACGCAACGCGAAGAACCUUACCUGGGCUCGAAAUGCUUACGACCAUCUUUGGAAACAGAGACUUCCCGCAAGGGACGUGAGUAUAGGUGCUGCAUGGCUGUCGUCAGCUCGUGUCGUGAGAUGUUGGGUUAAGUCCCGCAACGAGCGCAACCCUUGUCCUGUGUUGCCAUACCGAAAGGUGGAACUCGCAGGAGACCGCCAGGGAUAACCUGGAGGAAGGUGGGGAUGACGUCAAGUCCUCAUGGCCUUUAUGUCCAGGGCUACACACGUGCUACAAUGGACGGUACAAAGCGCUGCCAACCCGCGGAGGGGAGCCAAUCGCAAAAAGCCGGUCCCGGUUCGGAUUGAAGGCUGAACUCGCCU
rnacentral:rRNA from 1 species